rnacentral:lncRNA from 13 species
GUUAAAAUCUCUAUUCUGGAAAAAGCUGCCAAGUUUUUGAAGAGUUUCUUGCCAGAGAAGAGGAACAACAUUAAUACAGACUGGCCUAUCAUUCGGACAGUUCCCUUGGUGGUUAAUUAGAGCUGGCAUCCUAGAGGGAGCAGCGUCUGUUAUACAGACUUUAAGCUCUCUUCUCAUAAUAGAUGAUCUAGAAGCAGUUGAAUGUAUAUUGGGAAGCUUCCUAACUUCUCUAGGUGGUAGCCUCAAAGCUUAAUGCUUGGCAAUUACUUUGUGCUAAUCUUUUUACAACUUUUCUUUUUCAACUUCUGAAUUUUUAUAUGGCUACUUAGGAGAUGCCACAACACAAGAAGAGCUCACGUAUGUCUUUUUGUGAAGAUAUCUCAGGUGCUUAUGCAUUUCUUAAAAUUCCAGAGGAACAGCAUUUGUCAAAUUCAGAGCUCUCAGCCAGGUUGGAAUCCUCUUGCUGGACAAGAGUUCCUGGCAGACGUGGUGCCCGAAAACAGGGACCUGAGAUCAGGGAUUUUGAUGACAUUUGGGUGAGUGGCUGCAGCGAAGGACAUUCCGCUGCUGAACGUUUUUGGCACCCUAGUCCCAGAGCACAAGCUGAAGUGCUAUGGAACGAUGUACUGACUAACAAAUGGAAUGGACCUGAUCCAGCCCUAAUAUGGGGAUGAGGACAUGUUUGUGUUUUUCCUAGAUCAGCUGAAAGCCCUCUGUGGGUUACGGAGCAGUUGGUGAAACAUGGACCUCCUCUCAAUGGGAAAGCCUGGGUCCCUGAUCCCUCGACUGAGAUGACUGCAUUUGUCCCCUCCACGGCCACGUCAUCAUCAAAGGAGACGUUGGCCUGCCCAGACCACAUAGCGUCUUCCCACUUGGGGUCAACUGAAGCACCUUUGCGCUGAAGCAGCCCAACUUGUGGAUUCUCAGGGUACCCCAAGGA